CUAAACGCUUGAUAGUGAGUCUUGCAGUGGGCGGUACACGAAGAAACUUGUGUGCGAUAACCUGUCAAACUCGGGGAAGCCAUUAGCGCGGUAAUCCCGAACCAAGCCCUAGAAAUAGGGAAGGUGUAGAGACUGGUAGGCAGGCACCCUAACGUAAAGGCGAGGGUGAAGGGACAGUCCAGACCACAAACUGGUUA
rnacentral:ncRNA from 1 species